CCUACGGGAGACAGCAGUGGGGAAUAUUGGGCAAUGGGCGCAAGCCUGACCCAGCAACGCCGCGUGAAGGAAGAAGGCUUUCGGGUUGUAAACUUCUUUUCUCAGGGACGAAGCAAGUGACGGUACCUGAGGAAUAAGCCACGGCUAACUACGUGCCAGCAGCCGCGGUAAUACGUAGGUGGCAAGCGUUAUGCGGAUUUACUGGGUGGAAAGGGCGUGUAGGCGGGGACGCAAGUCAGAUGUGAAAACCAUGGGCUCAACCUGUGGCCUGCAUUUGAAACUGUGUUUCUUGAGUACUGGAGAGGCAGACGGAAUUCCUAGUGUAGCGGUGAAAUGCGUAGAUAUUAGGAGGAACACCAGUUGCGAAGGCGGCUCUCUGGACUGUAACUGACACUGAGGCACGAAAGCGUGGGGAGCAAACAGGAUUAGAUACCCCAGUAGUC
rnacentral:rRNA from 1 species